rnacentral:rRNA from 1 species
UAUAUCGGAACGUACCCUGGAGUGGGGGAUAACGUAGCGAAAGUUACGCUAAUACCGCAUACGAUCUAAGGAUGAAAGUGGGGGAUUCGCAAGAACCUCAUGCUCGUGGAGCGGCCGAUAUCUGAUUAGCUAGUUGGUAGGGUAAAAGCCUACCAAGGCAUCGAUCAGUAGCUGGUCUGAGAGGACGACCAGCCACACUGGAACUGAGACACGGUCCAG